rnacentral:rRNA from 1 species
CUUAAAUGAAUUGGGGGGGGGGCGCCCAAGCGGUGGAGCAUGUGGUUUAAUUCGAAGCAACGCGAAGAACCUUACCAAAUCUUGACAUCCUUUGACAACUCUAGAGAUAGAGCCUUCCCCUUCGGGGGACAAAGUGACAGGUGGUGCAUGGUUGUCGUCAGCUCGUGUCGUGAGAUGUUGGGUUAAGUCCCGCAACGAGCGCAACCCUUAAGCUUAGUUGCCAGCAUUAAGUUGGGCACUUUAAGUUGACUGCCGGUGACAAACCGGAGGAAGGUGGGGAUGACGUCAAAUCAUCAUGCCCCUUAUGAUUUGGGCUACACACGUGCUACAAUGGACAAUACAAAGGGCAGCUAAACCGCGAGGUCAUGCAAAUCCCAUAAAGUUGUUCUCAGUUCGGAUUGUAUGUCUGCAACUCGACUACAUGAAGCUGGAAUCGCUAGUAAUCGUAGAUCAGCAGCU